AAAGACAUCAUUAAUUAACCAUUUCAACGGUACCUAUAAAUGAAUCUAGCAUUGAGGUGGAGGAGACAGUUAUGAGUUAGUCGAAAAUAGGCAAAUAUGAAAGGCUGAGUAGGACAGUCUGGCAACACUGCUCGACACUUAAGGUUGCAUUACAAGACAAUCGCAGCCCAAGAACACAUAUUUGACAAGGCUUUCGUAGGAGUUGUGGGCAUUUCCAAGGGUAGUUUUAUGACCCUGGUGGUAGUGUGAGUCUUCUUCUGUACCAUGAACCUGAAGGAACACUCAUUAGAACCCGACUGACCCCCUCUUUGACCUUUAGAAAGAGCUGAUGUGAGAUGCGAGUGUCUUUUAAUACCAACCUUUGUAACAACUUAUGAGUCCACUUUGUAUUUUGUCAAGCGUAGCAACUCUCAGUAAUUAAAAACGAGAGGUAGUAUUUCCACUGGUCUCUCUUCUCUACACUACUCUAUACACUAUUUCGUCUACCUCGUACAUCCUUGCAACUUAUGAGUCCACUUUAUAUUUUGUCAAGCGUAGCAACUCUCAGUAAUUAAAAACGAGAGGUAGUAUUUCCACUGGUCUCUCUUCUCUACACUACUCUAUACACUAUUUCGUCUACCUCGUACGUCUUUGCAAUAUAUGAGUCCACUUUAUAUUUUGUUAAGCGCAGCAACUCGCAACAACCAGAAACAAGAGCUAGUAUUUCCACUGGUCUCUCUUCUCUUUCGUAUCAACAACAUAUGAGUCUGCUUUGUUUUUCAAGCGUGUAAUAUCCUUCACAUCUUUAGGUAGUGACUCACGGUAUUCAGUAACAGAGGUAACACAUAUAUUCCUUCUUCUUCUUGGACUUAUCACUAACAUAUGAGUCACUUGUAUCCUUUCCUUCGUACCAUCAACACAAAGAGUCUAUUGUGUUUCUCGUCUUUCACAUCUUAAGGUAGUGACUCAUGGUAUUCAGUAACAGAGGUACCACAUAUACUUCCCUCUCCUUCUUCGACUCAUCACUAACAUAUGAGUCACUUGUAUCCUUUCCUUCGUACCAUCAACACAAAGAGUCUAUUGUGUUUCUCGUCUUUCACAUCUUAAGGUAGUGACUCAUGGUAUUCAGUAACAGAGGUACCACAUAUACUUCCCUCUCCUUCUUCGACUCAUCACUAACAUAUGAGUCACUUGUAUCCUUUCCUUCGUACCAUCAACACAAAGAGUCUAUUGUUUCUCGUCUUUCACAUCUUAAGGUAGUGACUCAUGGUAAUCAGUAACAGAGGUAGCACAUAAAUUUGCCUCUCCUCCUCGUUCAUAUCAGCACAUUAUGACUCUACUGUCUGUCUAGAUGAAUAGGGGAGCAUA